UUUUAUCAGAGAGUUUGAUCCUGGCUCAGGAUGAACGCUGGCGGCGUGCUUAACACAUGCAAGUCGAGCGAAGCAGUUAAGUUGAUUUCUUUGGAUUGAUUCUUGACUGACUGAGCGGCGGACGGGUGAGUAACGCGUGGGUGACCUGC
rnacentral:rRNA from 1 species